GAUCAGGUAGGGAUACCCGCUAACCUUAA
rnacentral:rRNA from 1 species